UUUCACCUUUCUGCUUCUAUAUCUUCUCCUUUGUUUUAUUUGUUAAUUCCUCAGUUGCCAAUAAAUAACCCUAAUUCUGUGUAGAGUGUGCUUGGUAUGAAGGAAAAUGAUUUCUUACUUAUUUUCUAGUGUGUUUGAUAAGUAAACAAAAUAAUAUUGUUUCAAGUAAUCUAGGAAAACCUUAUAGGGGAGACAAUCUAACUUGGAAGGUCACUUAUGGAACUUGUUUUCCCUACUCUCACUAGGAAGUCAUUUUCCGAACUUGUUUUCCUACAGAAAGUGUUUUCCAAAAUAUUUUGACCAACCAAACAUGAGAAAAUUACCAAACACACCCAUACCGACUGUUAUUUACGCUACAUGUAGCGAGUUAAGGAUUUUAACUGUGCUAGGAUUUCGAUUAUCUUCUUGAAGCUUUUGGAUGCCUAAUUUCUUGUUCUAAUUUGCUCACUUUAGUGGACUAUUAGCAUAAUAGAUUAGGAGGACUUUAUGUAACCACUCGCAGGGGCGACAGUGUCUAUCAUUAGUUCAAAUGAGAUAGGGUGUCUGUAACAGAAUUUCUACCUGUAUUUGGAGUUGGUUUAU